rnacentral:tRNA from 1 species
UGGCAGGUAGCAAAGUGGUAAUGCACUCGGCUGUUAACCGAGAGAUGCGUGGGUUCGAAUCCCACCCUGCCAGCCA